GGCUAGCUUCAAGUUGAAAAGGGAGUAGCCCCUUUCCUCAGCUGCCGCCAAGGUGCUCGGUCCUUCUGAGGAAGCUAAGGCUGCAUUGUGGUGAGGCCCUCACUUCAUCCAGCGACUAGCUCCGUGCGGGCAGUCCACAACAUGGCUUCUGUCUCCGAGCUCACCUGCAUCUACUCCGACCUUAUCUUGCACGAUGAGGUGAUGGUCACAGAGGAUAAGAUCAAUGCCCUGAUUAAAGCAGCUGGUGUCAAUGUUGAA
rnacentral:lncRNA from 1 species